rnacentral:lncRNA from 1 species
UGUGGAGGGAAGAAGGGCUUCUUGCUAGGGAUAGGAAAUGAUUUAUGGAAUGGCUUCUUGAACAGUGGAAUAGGCUUAUGAAUAGGAAUUGGUUUAUAAACUGGAAUAGGCUUAUGAAUAGGAAUUGGUUUAUAAACUGGAAUAGGCUUAUGAAUAGGAAUUGGUUUAUAAACUGGAAUAGGCUUAUGAAUAGGAAUUGGUUUAUAAACUGGAAUAGGCUUAUAAAUUGGAAUUGGUUUAUACACUGGAAUAGGUUUAUAAACUGGAACAGGAAUAGGUUUUACGACUGGAUAUGGCUUUGGAAUAGGCUUAUAAAUUGGAAUAUGUUUCUUGUAAAAUGGCUUCUUGAAUAGUGGGAAUUUGUGAUGAAAAAGUCCUUUGAAUUUAGCUUCUUCAUCAUCAACUUUGGGGCUUGUCUUUGCAAUACCUUCGUUUACAAGCUUCCCAUCAGUAUUCACUUUAUCCCCAGCUGCAAA